rnacentral:rRNA from 1 species
UACGUAGGGGGCUAGCGUUGUCCGGAUUUAUUGGGCGUAAAGAGCGUGUAGGCGGCCAUGUAGGUCCGGUGUGAAAACUCGAGGCUUAACCUCGAGAUGUCAUCGGAAACCAUUUGGCUAGAGUCCGGAAGAGGAGAGUGGAAUUCCUGGUGUAGCGGUGAAAUGCGCAGAUAUCAGGAAGAACACCAAUGGCGAAGGCAGCUCUCUGGGACGGUACUGACGCUGAGACGCGAAAGCGUGGGGAGCAAACAGG